GGAUGAAAUGAUGAAUUUCAUGAUGUAUUGAUUGCUGAAAUGAUGGCAACUUAUCAUGUAUUAGCUCUAGCUGAUCAUUC
rnacentral:snoRNA from 1 species